UACGUAGGUGGCAAGCGUUGUCCGGAUUACUGGGCGUAAAGAGCGCGCAGGCGGUCGUCCAAGUCGCGUGUGAAAGCCCCCGGCUCAACUGGGGAGGGUCACGCGAUACUGGUCGACUCGAAGGCAGGAGAGGGUAGUGGAAUUCCCGGUGUAGUGGUGAAAUGCGUAGAUAUCAGGAAGAACACCCGUGGCGAAGGCGGCUCUCUGGGACGGUACUGACGCUGAGACGCGAAAGCGUGGGGAGCGAACAGG
rnacentral:rRNA from 1 species